UAUGCGUUUGUCAAUUUUUCCGAACACCUACGCAGAAGUAAUACUAUUACGUUUGUGUGAGAUAAAUAUAAAUUCAUUCCUCAUAUAUAAUGCAUAUAUUUUAUAUCAAAAAUCUACUGCUUCGAAACAAAAAUUUAGCGAAUUUCAUUUAGCGUUGAUAAGAGACAUUUUACGAAAAUAUUUCCAACGUAGAAGCAUGUUAGGAGGAGGAAAGAGAAAGUCUGAGGAUUUACCAUUUCGUUUAAUCGAUAGGCAUUUUCCAUCAAAAUGCCCUAAUCGUGCCGGCACAACACAAUUAUCAAGAAGAAAAUGUGUCGUUUGUGUGAAAAAUAAGAGAAGGAGCGACACGCGAUACGAAUGCAAAAAAUGCGAUGUCGGAUUAUGUAUGGAUAAUUGUUUUGAAAUUUUUCACACACAACUGAAUUAUUAACUCGUGUUAUAUUUACUAAAUUUAGUUUUCUAGUUUAUCGUUUUCUAGUUUAUUACCCAAAUUCUAUUUUAAUUUAAAUUUCAAUGUUUAUAAUAAAUAAUUAAUACUAAAAAAUAACGCUCUUGAAUCAUUUAAUCUCGUGCAAAAGAAUUACUAUAACUUAUUACGAUUUGCGCUUUGAAUAGUCAAUCAACAGAGUUCAAUCUAGCGAAAAGGUACUCCGUCCACAGCGAUGGUCAGCGCUGGCCGCGAGUACCGCGAGUAGGUCAGUUGCGUUGCUUUGUAAGCUCGCAGAGUUUUAUACCAAUUUGAAAAACGUACCGUUCGCGAUGAACAAAAAGAAUAGUAUUGGUAGAAUCUUGUUAACCAAGGACAAAUGACACAGCUGCUAGUUUAAGGAUGCAAAAGAUGCACGUUUAUUCGGUAAAAUAAUGUACAAAUAAAUAGUUGUGUGUCGGGGAUGAAUACAACGCUUUUCAUCGAUCUUCCUCACCAUCGCACAUCCGAACGUGCAGUAUACACGUUCUCUAUGCUUUAAUGAGUCUCGCAAGAAUCGAUUAUCGUGUCUGUUUCCUUCGCUCGCUCGCUUUCUCACACUCUCGCUCUCUCGCUCUUUUUCUCUGUCUCUCAAGUUUUCUCAAGUACAUACUCGCAUCGGUGUUUCGUUUUAUUCAUUUAUUUCUUCUUUAUUUCUCGUUGGAAACGAAAGUGGAGGCUAUAAUAUACGUACAAAAUUCCUGUGAGAACGACGUCGUCCAUAGUAUUACGCGAAAGACUCGAUAAACGACGAUUCGUCGUCGAGCCAAGGUGUAAAGAAUUCGUCGGAUGGUCUCUUCUUUCUAUUUCCCUUUUGCUCUUCUUCUUCUUCUUUUUUUUUUUUUUUUUUUGUUCAAAUGAUUUUCACGAUAUUCGAACGAUCAAAUUGCCGUGGACGCUUAUUUUACUCGUUUUACUAUGGAUUCAUCGAACGACGUCAAUUUUCUUUAUUAUCAGUGUGGGGACGAGGGAGGAGUGUACUGUUUAUGUUCCUUACUGUACUGGAGCUUUUAGUCAUAUAUAGCGAUAACCAUUAAUAUAUGCAUAGGUCUUUUCGACACAGAUACCGAGUAUAGGGCAUACUAUUUUUUACCUUUAUUUAUUUAUUUAUUUAUUUUUUCCUUUUAAUUCGAUCGUGGCGAUGACAAUGGUAAUAACGACGAGUAACAAUAAUCGUAGCAAUAGAAGUAAUUAAAUGUAAUGAUAAGAAUAAUAGCAGUAGAACGACACUGAUUAUUAACGUUAACGAUAAUCAUAUAAUAAUAAUAAGAACAAUAAUAAGAAUAAUAAUAAUAAUAAUUGCAACAGGCGUACAAACUAGGCUAGGUGGACUUUCAUAACUGAUCCAUACAUUUAGGGAGAAUUACAACGUAAGAUCAUGCGUCUUGGAUUUACAAAAUGUUCGCUGGAUCGAUCGAUCAACCAUCAACUGCAAACCUCGUCCGCGUUUUCCGCAAAAAAACCUCAAGCACAAAAUGUAAAUUAUUCGGCAAUGUUACUUAUUUAAUUAUCAAAUUUAAAUAUAAAAACGAAUCUAAUACACGUUUAAUCGCUUUAUAUGUAAAUUUGUGAAUAUUUCUCCGAUCAAACGUAGCCAUCGUCAAACGAGAUUCUAAAAGUCUGCACUGCGAAUCGCCAUAGCGAAAGAGAAAAUUCAGUUUCGGAUGGCAGAUGGAUGGUCUGUAGUCGAGGGUUGACGAUCGAUAAAAGGAAGAGGAAAUAGAGGUGCCCCGGUUGGAGAUGCCUCCGUUUACGACCGAAUUCACAAUCAGAAAGGUAUCCCUUUUUCGCGAUGCUCAGUUCACCUUAGCAACUGUACGCUCGUGGAAAAGUAGGCCGUAUCGUAUUACACCGCUACUUCCAUCUACUUGGUAUAAAAAAGAACCGUGGAAAACAGUAGUAACCGCUGUCGAUAUAAAAAAUCGUUAUAGCGCUCUCUAUAUCGGUUAUUGAUUACGUGAUCGUCGAGAGAAAGUCUACGUACGGCCGUUGUAACAUUAUUUACGUACACUAGAAACGGGGGUGGAUUUGUGGAGAACGGGGGAUCGUUUCGUCGUAUCUUCGAUCCAAACGGAAGUCCUCGGUUCCUCGACAACGAUCGAUCGACUCUGGCCACGAAAAUCGCCACUACUGAUUUCCAUACAAAUAGAUUUCAAAAGAUCGAUUCGCAAACUAUACAUAUAUACUCGAUACGCAAGCAUUUUUCGGCAGCACCUUCUUUACGAAUAAUUUAGCGUUGGUUAUUUUCAUUGUGUUUUGUUACCCGUUUAAUAUUUAUCUUGGACUACUUCUUUUUUUUUUUUUUUUUUUUUUUUGGAACGAUGACAACGCGUCGUUCGCCAUUUCGAAUUUUCUCUUUAGUAUCGUGUGCCGCGAAUGGGCGGA